rnacentral:rRNA from 1 species
ACGUAGGUCACAAGCGUUGUCCGGAAUUACUGGGUGUAAAGGGAGCGCAGGCGGGAAGACAAGUUGGAAGUGAAAUCCAUGGGCUCAACUCAUGAACUGCUUUCAAAACUGUUUUUCUUGAGUAGUGCAGAGGUAGGCGGAAUUCCCGGUGUAGCGGUGGAAUGCGUAGAUAUCGGGAGGAACACCAGUGGCGAAGGCGGCCUACUGGGCACCAACUGACGCUGAGGCUCGAAAGUGUGGGUAGCAAACAG